GCGGCAGGCUUAACACAUGCAAGUCGAACGGUAGCAGGAAGAAGCUUGCUUCUUUGCUGACGAGUGGCGGACGGGUGAGUAAUGCUUGGGAAUCUGGCUUAUGGAGGGGGAUAACUACUGGAAACGGUAGCUAAUACCGCGUAAUGUCUUUGGACUAAAGGGUGGGACCGUAAGGCCACCUGCCAUAAGAUGAGCCCAAGUGGGAUUAGGUAGUUGGUGAGGUAAAGGCUCACCAAGCCCGCGAUCUCUAGCUGGUCUGAGAGGAUGACCAGCCACACUGGAACUGAGACACGGUCCAGACUCCUACGGGAGGCAGCAGUGGGGAAUAUUGCACAAUGGGGGGAACCCUGAUGCAGCCAUGCCGCGUGAAUGAAGAAGGCCUUCGGGUUGUAAAGUUCUUUCGGUGACGAGGAAGGCGAUUGUUUUAAUAGAACAGUCGAUUGACGUUAAUCACAGAAGAAGCACCGGCUAACUCCGUGCCAGCAGCCGCGGUAAUACGGGGGGUGCGAGCGUUAAUCGGAAUAACUGGGCGUAAAGGGCACGCAGGCGGAUAGUUAAGUGAGAUGUGAAAGCCCCGGGCUUAACCUGGGAAUUGCAUUUCAGACUGGCUAUCUAGAGUAUUUUAGGGAGGGGUAGAAUUCCACGUGUAGCGGUGAAAUGCGUAGAGAUGUGGAGGAAUACCGAAGGCGAAGGCAGCCCCUUGGGAAUAUACUGACGCUCAUGUGCGAAAGCGUGG
rnacentral:rRNA from 1 species